CGAAAUACUUCUGGUGAUGGGGAACCCUCUUCUUGCAGAGAGAAUGCUAUUCCUGACAGCUCACUGGAGCCACCAUGCUGAAGGCCAAUGAAGAGAAUGAAGAGGUUGCCUUAGCUUCUAGAUGUUGAGAUAUCAAGAGGCAGGAACUGGAGUUAGCAGACCAAAUGGAGCCCCUAUACCCCUGUGAGUUCACACACUGCAGC